GGUCAGCCAAAUAAUCUAACUGAUCUGGAAGACUGCGCUCUGAUGAGGUGGUCUGAAAGUGGUAAAUGGCACGACUACCCUUGUGACGCGCAACAUGGCUGGAUAUGUAAAUUCCGAAAGGCAUCUACCUAACUGACAUAAACAGAGUGCUUUCAAUUCCAAUUAAAGGACAUCUUCAUUGCCGCCUUGAAAUGGCAUGUGUCUAGACAUUAUACCAUUCGAUGAGUGAGAAAAGAUUUGUACAAACACCAAUUUCGCAAGGAUUGUUUAUUUCAUAGUAUUUUGAAAAUAUUUAUUUCUGGGAGAAGUAUUUCAUACAAAGAAAAUAUAAACCUACUAUAUAUAAAUCCUAGGGCAUACAUAGCAAUAUAUGAUCAAUAUGAAAUAUUUCUUUGUUUUUGUCUCAUUUUCAAUACAACUUAACAUUGAGUCAAAAUAUAUAUGCAUCCUAUUCUGUUGUCUUUCCAAUUAUUUCACGUACAUACCAUGUUUUAUACAAUUUACCCUACAUAAGCUCUUUCUUGUAUGUUACGUGACACUGCUGAGAAAGGUCGCAUUUAGGUUUUCUAUCAAAGGAAACUUCUUGGCGCGUCGGCCUGUGCAACAAAGCCAAUUGUUAUCAAAACUGUCAACAAACAUGUGCUUAUAUUAGACGGUUACCAAAAUUUAACUGAAAGGGAGACGUAUCAUGUAUGUAAUACAACUAAACUUCUUAACGGUCAUUAAGAUUGAAAGCGAUACGUGUUUUGUACAUGUAUGUAAUACAACUAAACCAUUCAAAUAUCUGAUUGCAUUAAUACUAAAGAUGACAAUCACCGUUGAAACAUUUCAAAAGGAAACAAUAUACAUGCAUGUGCUUUAACGGUCACAAAACUCUAAAACGUGAA
rnacentral:lncRNA from 1 species